rnacentral:lncRNA from 1 species
CCGGUCUCUGCUGUGUUUGACAGGUGAACUCCGGGCUCAGUGAUUAACUCAGCAACUCAGCCAAGAGGAGAGGACACUGAGGCUGAGAAAGGUGAGCCAGACAGAACCAUGGAAGGAGUGUCAAUUCUGCUGAAACGAGGGGCCAGAGAAGGGAAAUCAAAGAAGACUGUAUUGGGAAUGUGGGAUUAGCAAAUACACACAUACUGUAUAUAAAAUAAACAAGGUCCUACUGUAUAG